rnacentral:rRNA from 1 species
UACAGAGGGCCCAAGCGUUGUUCGGAUUCAUUGGGCGUAAAGGGUGCGUAGGUGGCGCCGUAAGUGGGGUGUGAAAUUUCGGAGCUUAACUCCGAAACUGCAUUCCAUACUGCGGUGCUUGAGGACUGGAGAGGAGACUGGAAUUUACGGUGUAGCAGUGAAAUGCGUAGAGAUCGUAAGGAAGACCAGUGGCGAAGGCGGGUCUCUGGACAGUUCCUGACGCUGAGGCACGAAGGUCAGGGGAGCAAACGGG